UACGUAGGGUCCGAGCGUUGUCCGGAUUUACUGGGCGUAAAGGGCGCGUAGGCGGCACUGUUAGUCAGGCGUGAAAGUCCUGGGCUCAACCUGGGAACUGCGCUUGAUACGGCAGAGCUAGAGGAUGGAAGAGGCUCGCGGAAUUCCCAGUGUAGAGGUGAAAUUCGUAGAUAUUGGGAAGAACACCGGUGGCGAAGGCGGCGAGCUGGUCCAUUACUGACGCUGAGGCGCGACAGCGUGGGGAGCAAACAGG
rnacentral:rRNA from 1 species